AUUGAACGCUGGCGGAAUGCUUUACACAUGCAAGUCGAGCGGCAGCGCGGGGGGCAACCCUGGCGGCGAGCGGCGAACGGGUGAGUAAUAUAUCGGAACGUACCCCGUCGUGGGGGAUAACACAGCGAAAGCUGUGCUAAUACCGCAUACGACCUGAGGGUGAAAGCGGGGGAUCGCAAGACCUCGCGCGAUGGGAGCGGCCGAUAUCGGAUUAGCUUGUUGGUGAGGUAAAGGGCUCACCAAGGCGACGAUCCGUAGCUGGUCUGAGAGGACGACCAGCCACACUGGAACUGAGACACGGUCCAGACUCCUACGGGAGGCAGCAGU
rnacentral:rRNA from 1 species